rnacentral:hammerhead_ribozyme from 1 species
AUCCGGCUGACGAGUCCGAAAUAGGACGAAACGCGCGUCCUGGAU